rnacentral:rRNA from 1 species
GACGAACGCUGGCGGCGUGCUUAACACAUGCAAGUCGAACGGAAAGGCCCUGCUUUUGUGGGGUGCUCGAGUGGCGAACGGGUGAGUAACACGUGAGUAACCUGCCCUUGACUUUGGGAUAACUUCAGGAAACUGGGGCUAAUACCGGAUAGGAGCUCCUGCUGCAUGGUGGGGGUUGGAAAGUUUCGGCGGUUGGGGAUGGACUCGCGGCUUAUCAGCUUGUUGGUGGGGUAGUGGCUUACCAAGGCUUUGACGGGUAGUCGGCCUGAGAGGGUGACCGGCCACAUUGGGACUGAGAUACGGCCCAGACUCCUACGGGAGGUAGCAGUGGGGAAUAUUGCACAAUGGGCGGAAGCCUGAUGCAGCAACGCCGCGUGCGGGAUGACGGCCUUCGGGUUGUAAACCGCUUUCGCCUGUGACGAAGCGUGAGUGACGGUAAUGGGUAAAGAAGCACCGGCUAACUACGUG